rnacentral:rRNA from 1 species
CAGAGGUCUCAAGCGUUGUCCGGAUUUAUUGGGCGGAAAGAGCGUGUAGGCGGCCAGACAGGUCCGUUGUGAAAACUCGAGGCUCAACCUCGAGAUGUCGAUGGAAACCGUCUGGCUAGAGUCCGGAAGAGGAGUGUGGAAUUCCUGGUGUAGCGGUGAAAUGCGCAGAUAUCAGGAAGAACACCUAUGGCGAAGGCAGCACUCUGGGACGGUACUGACGCUGAGACGCGAAAGCGUGGGGAGCGAACAGG